UUUUUUUUACACACACUGCUUCUGCACUGACCUAAAGUUGUAUUUAAAUCAUUUUAGAAUCUGAUGAGGACCAUGGAUGGGUAUUAUUAUGUUCUGAUAUGCAAAGCUUAUGAUUAAGAAGGUGUAGUUUCUAACGUGACUGUACUCCGCAGUGCAAAUCUAAUAUUAUGAAAGUAUAACUGCUAUAGUAUGCUGGCUAGGAUAAGAUGCUGUUAGCUCGAACACCUUAAAACUUUUAUCAUUCAUUUAGAUGGAUACAAUAAGAUACAUUUACUAAGAAAAAUAAGUUAUUGAUCUAUGGAUAUAUUUAUAUGUUCAGGUAUAGUUAUUCAUAUACUGCUGGUCUGCGAUGAAAGUCAUCCAAGCCUCAUAUUAUAAAGGGAAAAUUUUAGAGAGAGAAUCCCAACAAAAAAGGAAAACGGAGGCAGAAAAGAAGAGCAUGAGAUGACAACCAGGACAAGUUAAUGAUAUGAAAUAGUGCUAUGUAAAUGCAUGCAGAGUGAAAAGAGGGCAGUGGAAGAGAAACACCCAUGAGAGGUCCCCCAGCAACUUGAGCCUGUAGCUGCAUAAGUAGUGUAUGGUUCAGGGCCACCUGAUCCAACUGUGAGCUUUAGGAAAAAAUAAAGUUUGAAUAUAAUCGUAUUAAUAGAGCUUAUGUGUGUGUCCCCAACCCGAACUGGGAGCUGGUUCCACAGCUGAAGGCUCUUCCUUCUGUUAUAUGUUUGGAAACUCCUGGAGCUCUAAGGUGCUCUAUUAUGAUAAUAUGGGACUAUGGGGCCCUUAAAAUGGAACAGGGCCAGAUCAUUCAGGACUUUGUAUGUGAGGAUGUAUAAGCAGAGAUGAAAUGUUUAAUAAGCAGAUCCAUAAUUUUCUCUUCCUCUCCCUUUUUCUUGUAAGAUUCUAUUUCGGCAGAGAAAAUAACACGCCGUCCUCCGGAUGUUGCCAGUCAGCAUAUGCACAUGAAUAGCUGCACUGAAAACAAUGAUCGACAGUUCACACACCCAAAUCAGCGUGUUUCUUUAGAAGUGCUGAGCACAACAGCAAACUCCAUUGAGGCAGUCAAACCGCAUGUUUAUAAUGCAGUGUUAGUCUGCUCUGUAUGAUUGAAAACCUGCUUCUGGGCUGUCUGCUCGCUCUGAGUUUGAUUACUUCCCCAACGGACUCUACAAGUGCAUCUUUGAAGUCGCUCUGUCGGUAUUAUUUUAUGCAUGAGUAAAUAAAUACAGUAACUGUCACCAGGAUCUUUGUUGGAAGAGCUAAAAAUACAGUAUGGGGUGUGAUUUGGCCACAUGAAAAACAGCUAUAUUUGAAAACACAAGGACUGUUUGUCUCAGGUUUACCCACGAGGUUUGUUCCUAUGAUUUUUACAUUUUCAAGACUGAGCUUUUUUUAAUCCUGAUAAUAUUUUUCAUGUAGAGUGUUAAAGAGGGAUGAGUGAUCCACAGGAUGUCCACGAAUGAGAAACUACCCUCUUCUUCUUUUGGUAUCCACUGUCAGGAAUAAAGGAACUGGGGUGUGGAGGUCAUUUAUCCACAGGGAUGAAUCCUCAAAUCCUUACUGGCCUUGAGAGCUCAGAAUAGUUGAGCUUCAUCUCCUUCAGCACUCCAUGUGGUUUUUAUCCUUGUCAAAAUGCUUCUUUAUUGGAGCUAGCGUAUAGGCGGCGUUUUCAAACGACAACCCACAGACAUAAUCUCCUUUUCAGACCAUUUUCCAAAGGGAUGUGUCAAAGAAUGUUUCUGCUUCCUGUACAGCUUUGGUGAAAGCAACUUAACCGGUAUAAGAACCUGAAAUUUUCCAAAGGGCAAUGAGCAAUAUAGCUGGUCAUAUAUUAUAUGUAUGAAUAUGCUCCUUUUUCCUCAUCUUUGACUUUGUUCCUGCUUAGAAUUAAAAAGCGGUCUCUGGCUGUUGUUUGGGGGGACAGAUCCCAAAACAAUUGCGUGAGUCAGAGCUUCUUUUUUUAAAUUAUUUACUUUUUUAUUAUUCUAAAUAACUACAACUACAGUUGUUGUUAUUGCGUUAAAUAAUAAAUGGCCUGGUACUUAGUGCUUUUCUACUCAAUAUGAGCACUCAAAGCAAUUUCUUACUACAAAACUCAUUCGUCUAUUCACACACACAUUCAUACAAGUGCUUUUAAAUAGACAUUCACACAUUCACACUCUGAUGGAUGCAUCAGGGGCAACUCUGAUUUCCCACCCAUUAUGCAAAACAAAUAAUCCAACUAUUAAAGUUUGCAUACAUGAUAUCCUGAGCUUUAUCACAGCCAGUCGAGAGAUUAUUGGAAGAGUGAAACCACUGUGACCACUGCAGCAGAGUGCACAGAACAAGAGUCACAUGUGGAAACUUCAGUUCAACUAGUGGUAAAACAUCCACCGAAUAUCUUUAAAUUCUAAUCCAAAGGAAAUAAAACACUAGUUGUGCUGCUGUCACCCGUUUGCUUAAACAAGCCAAUAAGCUUCUUUCUCCUGCCUUCAAGCCAACUUUCUCCUGAUUGGCUGUCCCUCAUAAACAGAAGAUUUAAACAGCAUUUGGCUUCUUUGGUCAGUGCAAUGUGCCUGACAUGACCAUAUCACAGAUACCCGCUUUCAAUGACAUCAUAAAGAUCAUAGUGCAGAGCAAAAUGUCUGAAACUAUGUGUUUAGACCAAUCUGAAGCCUGAGGUUUCGGCUCACAGCGAUUACUUGCACUUAUGCCGACCUCAUCGGCGACAUCAUUGAAACCUUAGCCAUGCUUAGUGUGAUCCACAGACUUCCAGUAUAUAUAUAGGAUAUCGUAUCAUGAGCUGCAUGGCCUCAUGGCAGAGUACACACAUCUAUAAAGGUAUAUGUUUGUACAUCAUGAGUUUUUAAUGCCAUUUAAUUUUGAUUUAUAAUUCUGGUUUAUCUUUAAUAUCUUCUGCACUCAUAGUCGUGGAAAGAAAAAUUUGUAUUGCCUAGCUUAUGUUUCAUAACAGUUAGGGAUGUAAUUUAGUGAACUCCAUUUUUAUAUACUAUCAUCUUAUUUACAUAUCUUCUUGAACAGUACACACACACACACACACACACACACACACACACACACACACACACACA